AUCAUGAUGUUAUAGAUUGUCUGCAGAAAAUGAAGGACAACUUGACAAAUACAGUUUCACACCUUCAAGAAGCCAAAAAUAAACUUCGUGCAGCUAGCUACCAACAAGAUGAUUUUUCUCAGAUCCAGGCUGCUCAAAAUGCUUUUGUAGAAACUAGAGUAUGUUAUUUUGAAAGAGAAGCAAAGCAAUCUGUGCAGGCAUCCUCUAGUUCCAGCCAGAGAAACCAACGAACUCCUUCCUCAAGCAAGAUAGAAAGUCAGAACAUUAAUCAAGCUCAGCCAUGUGAAAUUAAAACUGUGAAAAAAGAAACUGUUGCAUCAUUAGCUGAAAAUAUAUCUGUCAGAGAACAGGAAGUUCACAGAGAACCUCCAACAACGAAAGAAGAUGGUGAAUACAGAGUGCUAACAACAUCUAUUUCAGAGAAAAUAGAUAAUAAUGGAAAAGACAAAACUCACAGAGAUGGCUCUUCUCCUGAAAAAUAUCCAGAACUGACUUGUCAAGACGAUCUUAUGGGCAGUGGAGAAAGUAUUUCAUCUCGGUCAUUAACGAAUACUCAUGACAGAACUGUCAAAAAUCUUUCUGAACAGGAGAAAGAACUGAAGUUGACAGAGCAAAUGGAAGACAAUAAAAAGGAAAAAAAUAUGAUAUGUAUAGGAAUGAUCUAAUUACUGUCACAUCUUCAGCACAAACCGGUGAUCUUAAUGCUGUGAUUUCUUCAGUGAAUGAUUCAGAAGAUGUGCAAAAAUAUAGGCACUGGUCAAACAAGGAAUUUGUAAUGGAACAGAGUGGUAGGAGUGAACAUAAAGUAGUUUGCUUUAUUAAAGCCCCUGCAACUGCCCUGGAGAAUCUGACUUGUACAAUAGUCAAUGACACAAGUUCCUUGGUGGUGGAUGAUUUUGAGGAGCUGAUCAGCAAUGUUGUCAGUGUUGAAUGCUCUGAUUAUGAUAAAACUAUCCCUUUUCCUAUUAACAUUGCAAUCCCAUUUACUUCACGCUUCAGAGGAAAUUAUCGGGAGAUUAAAGUGAAGGUGACAGACAUGAACUUUCAAUCAAAUUACUUAACUCCCAUUUCUCUGGAAGGAUACCACGGAAACCACAAGGAAACAUUUGCGGAAGUGAAAGUUUAUCAGCUGGGUGUUUUUUCUGUGUUGUCAUGUUUAAAGAAAGAAACAUUUACCGUUCCAACAGCAGGACUCUCACAAAACCUGAGCAUGGAUUCUAGGAUCUCUUUCUAUUACCCUUCGGAAACGUUCACUUCUCCAGCAACCAUGAUGUUAAAGAUUCAUCCAAUUGAACCAUCACUAAUUUCCACACUGAAAGCAAGACACGACAUGUACCUCUCAGUGGUAUCUACCAGUGCACUGGUUUAUGUCCACCAUCCUUCAGCCCAACCAUUUAACAACUCAGUCACCAUUACUCUACCCUGUCCUCCAAACCCAGAAAAAAAAAGGCAGGAGGAGGAGACAGAGCAAGUGAGAGCCAUUACUGCUACAGUAAAGAAGGUGGCUGCCGCAUAUCAUCCUCGGGCUAUGACUGCCUCUUUGAGAAAGAAUGGAGAGAGUUUCAGUGAUACUUUCAAAUUAUUAGGUCACAGAAACAAAGAUGAGUGGAUGGUCUUCGAUGAUAUUGUUAUCCAGAAUGCACAGAAUGGUCUUGUGUCAUUUGAUCUAAACGAACAUUUAGAAAGCUUUGUGGUCAUUCGCCUUUCAUUCCUCUUGGAAAACACUUAUCUCCUCCUCUUUGCUCAGGCUCUGGAGGAAGCUGUUUGUAGCACAAUGUCAAAUGUGAUACUGUAUCGGAAAAGAGAAAACCCAUAUAAAAUAAUAGUUUUACUAACUGCAUCCAAGGAAUUGACCUGGGAAAUUCAAAAUCUCCAUGAAGAAGGCUACUUUGGUCCCCCAGAACCUACACAGCAGUUUCCUUUAAGAGAAGGAGAGCAGAUUCAUUUUCAAUUUAGAGGCAAUAUAUUUGCUUCAGAAAAUGGAAAAGAUUUUGGAAGAGCUUACAGGCUGAUUUUUCAUUCACAAAGAAAGCCCAGACUAGAACUCCAUAUUAAAGAACUGGAUGAGUUUGGUAACCACAGCUCCCCUCACUACAAAGGAACUGCAGUGUUUUACAAAAUUACCAGAGGGAUGAUAACCAAGGAAUGGAAACAGCCCUUGCCACACAGUAAUUAUCAACACCAGUCUCCACUGUGCAAAUUACCACUGACAUUACCAAAGCGUGAAAAGUCGAUCAACCGUCCACAAAGCACAAAAAGAAUUUUUUGUGAUUCAUCAGAGGCCCUAUGGGACAACUUGCUGUACUGGCUUGCAGAAGAGCUUGCAGAAGACAAUACAUCACUGAAUGCUUUACGCUUGCCUGUUCGGCGGAGUGUGCUUCAGCUUGUUAGGCUGAAGUGCCCUGAUAAUUUAAUACACCAGAACUAUGAGCUUCUUUGCUGCUGGCAAAAGUCCCUUCCAAGGUCAGCUGACAAACAGCAGCUCUUGUCUCGCUAUUUGCAGAAGAGUGGCAGAAGGGAUCUUUCAGAAGAACUUCGUUUUAAGUGGGAAAACAAAGUGUUCACUUGACAGAAUCAGUGGCAACUAAGCCCAAUUUUUCUUCUUUCUUGUUGAGAAGUGUGACCAUCAUAUUUGGAAAAAGAACUAUUUCUUCUUAUAUAUUCUAAAAUCGAAUUUAAUUGUAUUCAUCAUAUAGAUCUCUUGUACUGAAGGUACAGAUAAUAACAUAGGUGUGUUUAUAACAUUCUUUAGCUAUGUAUUUGAAUACUUUAAAAAAUAAUUUCUGCAAAGUAAUCUUAACCUAGUUUUUAAAAGUCAGAGAAAUAGCAGGUUUGGCCUUUUAUAACUAUGUUUUUUUCUGAAAUAGUAUAAGGGUUACUUCAAAAGUAAGGCUUCCUAUUUGGCCCACAAUAUCAUAGACAGUUAUUGGUGAUACGACAGUAGUGGCUGAACCAUCCUGCCAAUAUUCCAUUACAUUUUGUUGCCAUGCAACAGAUGGCAGCAGAGGGGCAGUCUGACAAAAUGGCAUCUGACAUGGAAGUGUGUAUGAAGCAAAGGUGUGUCACUGAAUUCCUCCAUGUGGAAAAAGUUGUACCCAUUGACAUUACAUUCAUCGACACUUGCAGAAAAUUAGUGGAGAUCAAACAGUAGAUGUGAAAACAGUGAGACAGUGGGUGGUGUUUCAGCAGUGGCAACAGUGACAUGAAAGAUAAGCCACCAGGGUGGCAGACAUACACCACAAAAUGAAGAGCAUCUCUAUCAGCUUAUGUGGGCAAAUCAGUUAAUAGUGGUGACUAUUUUGGAAAAUAGUGCUUUGUAACUGAGAAACUGCUCUCCUAGAGUUAUUGUGAGCUCUAUAUCUGUUGUAGUUUCCAUGGAAAUAGAUUAACAGUUAUCCAUCUAAACUUUAUUAAUAUUUAAACUAUUAAGAAUUUCUGCAAAUCUUGCUGACAAAACAUAAUUUUGAUACACAUUGUUAGUCUGGAGAUUUUAUUUUCAGGGGUCUCAUAUUUGUAAUGUUUCCAAAUCACUGUUAUAAAUGUGAAAAUCACACUGCGGGAGAAAAGAUAAAAUGAAAUAGUAUUUAUUCUUUUAAUUAUUCUAACCAGUAAUGUCUCACCCUGAAUAUUUUAAUUGUAUGAUAGAAUAUAUGAGGCAUCUUCACAAUAAAAUGAUCAUGCUUUCUUUUAAUUUUUUUCCUUAAAUGAAGAUUUAGUAGCCUGGAUUUUUUUAAUUAGCAGAAAGUGUUAUUGCACUUUCUUAGUGCACUGACAUAUUUUGUCCUUGGAUCCUUUUUCACCAGUACCUUCUUUUUAGGAAUUAAUAUUUUGCUGCAAUUCCAACAGGUGCUGUCAGCAUGUAUCAAGCUUCAAUCUAUGAAGAUAUUACAAAUAAUACUGGAAAUAUCUCAAAAAAUUGGACUUAAAAAGCGUUUCAAAACAUCUGCUAUCAUUCUGCCACAAGAUGGCCUAUGUGUCUAACAAAACCUAUAACUGUAUCUCACAUGUUGGAAAAAAAUGAGAGUAAAAUACAAAAAACUAAAAGUCAUCUAUAAAGAAAUGAAUACCCCGCUGUGCCAUAUAGUAUCAUUAGAGUGAGAGCAAAAUAGCAACUAUGGAAAUCAACAUUAUUUCUCCAAUUCUCAAUGUUACAGUCAAUAUUUUAGCUGUAUUAAACCUAUGUGCAGCAUAAUUAAAAUACAGUUUUUAACUUUUUUUUUUUUUAAUGAUCACAUAAACAAACAUUUAUAUUAUGCCUGGUUGCUUCCUCCUCUUCCCUCCGACAGAAAGAAACACCCUCUUUCACCAGUUCUCUCUCAACCCAGUGGCUUUAGGCAGGAAGAGAGAAUAUAGGAAACGUAUAAUUUCAUGCUAGGCAUUAACAUUCCCACAGUGAUGCAAUUUUUAUUCCAUUUUAUGUCAGGAAAGAGUUUCUACACCUUCUACAGUACAUAGCCUGUAAAGAAAAUCUCAAACAAAUCAGGUUUUAGUCCAAAACGUACUAGAACAGUCCAAGACAUUCUAAAACAGAACAGUGACGUCAGUAGCAAUUAGAUUCUGAAAUGUAUUUCCUUAUAAUUGAAAUAAAUUCAACUCAAGUUCUAAUGGAAUCUAAGGUGACCUCACUGAAAAGGAAAGAGCACCUAUCCUAUGGAAGACUGCCUGACUAUUCUGCUUCUUUCAAAACAGCGCAUGCCAUUCACAGGCCAAUAUGACUGAACUGCAGAAAAUCCAGUUUCUUAUCUAGCAUCAAAGCUGUGAUUUACAUUUCACUCAAUAGAACAUUGUCUCUUAAAUGAAAUGUUUAUCUCUGAGAAACACAGAACUGAGGGGAAAAAAAUGUUGUAAAGAAUGCAGUCUUUACAAAAUGUCUGUAAAGAGACAAAUCUGCUCUGUGCUAUGUUUUUUAUUGGGUGUAAAAUAUAUGUGCGACUAUGAGAAAACCCUGAGCUUUAUUUCUUAGAAUGAAUGUGUUUCCUACUCCUGAGUGAAAGGUGAUGCUGCAGACUUCAGCUAAACAGUGAAGGCAGACAAACAGAAAAUAAGCUAAGACAGGAAGGGAGUUGAUCAUAAAGAACCUACCAAUACAACUAUAAUUUGGCUGACUGAAUAUAAAAGCUGUUUGUUAAAAUACUGAGUAGUUAAACAGAAAAGGAAGAAAGAAAUGUCUAUUUCUUUUCUAGCGCAUUUACGGUGAGUUGCCAACUGUGUCCGAGACUGACAAAGUAUAAAGGUAUAAAGCAAACUUUGCAUAUUCAACAUUUAAAAUACAAAUUAUCUCUACUUGAUGAAACAGGGCUCAGUAAGUAGAAUCAGUAAGCUGCUGAACUCAACAGAUGGGUUUAAUUUAAAAAAAUGAGAUGGCAUUUAAUCAAUAUCCCAUCCAAACUAAUGCAUGUAAAAGGCAGUUACUUUAUCCUUUCAUAAAAGCCUGGGAGGUACACUGUUUUCACAGAACAACUCUGUGUAACAAAGCCACUGUGAAGCAAAGGAUCUUUAGAAGCUGUUCCCAAGAAAAGGAGCAGGAGGCUCCUAUGCAGAGCUCCAUGCAUGGCAGUCUCUGCAGAGCAUCCAGCACCUCUAGGUUGCUCAUGUCGGUGUGUUGGUCUUACCUGCAGUGAACUAAAUUCCUGAAAAUGUGAACAUUCAAUACCCUGGCAAAAAAAUAGCCCAAUUGAAAUCACUCCUUAUUUCCAUAUAAAUCUACACUUUACCCUAAAUCAGAACAAAUUAUUUGAGCAUCUCGGGUGCAUCUCAGAAAAUGUGUCAAUGGAAGAAAACCGUUAUCCACUGUUCCUCUUGUUCUAAGCAGUACAGAGGCUUGAUCUUAUGUCUGAACCAAGAAUACCAGGUAUCAGCUUGUUCUGAGACUCCUUCAGUGUCCACUUUCAUGAAGAAAACCUAUAUAAUCCAGAUUAAAAAUGAAUAAUAAUAAUAGUAAUGAUAAUUCCUCCAAAUACCUGACUUGCUUUCUGAAACAGCCUGUAUCAUUACAAGAUCCUGAUAAAAUGAAAAUACUUCCUUUAAUGUCUUUAUGCUCCUUUAAUGUCUUAUUUUAAUAUGUUCUUUAUAAUGUUCUUAUUUUAAUAAGACAUCAAUAUAAACGAUCAUUUAUAAUCUGACAAUUUAAAGUGCUCACAUUGUUAAUAUUGACUGAUAUUUUAUAUCAAUUUUUUCAUGUACUAUUAGUGGUUAACAAAAAAUGUAACAAUUAGUAAUCUAGUGUAAUAUUAGCAUAAUUUGCAAGAAUAGAAAAGCAGUGUCUAUGUUUCAUCCUUUGUCCCUGGACAAUGAGAGUAUCAUAAAUAUAAGAAAAACAAUUGUCUUACAGAAUGCAAAUGUCAGAUUUUGUCCUUAUCUAAGGCUUAAGCAAAAGAUUAUCAUUAGCCAUCACUAUUGCCAACAGAUUCUUCGUAAUAAAAAAAAAAAAAAAAAGGUCAUAUUAUUACUGGGAUGUGUAUUACUGCGUUAUACUGAGCACAUCUCCUAGGUGAAGGAUUUUUUUCAUAGGCAUAUAUAAAACCUACAUGCUCACUGACUUUAUUGUCCAUUAAGCAUUUACUACUUCAUUGUUUCUACCAAAGCCCCUUGUACUGCAGCUUCCCAAAUGAAAAGAUGAAGGAUUUUCAACUUCUUAAAACAUUCCAAAUCCUUCAGCAUGAUUACAGACUAUUUAGGAGUCCAGUUUUGAUAGUAUGAUUUCCAGAAAUGUUAUCACCCAUUUUAAUUUUGUCCUUUGGUCAGAUUAUGGCCAGUGCAGAAUAAUUAAAUUUGAGAAUCUGAAAUAGUUUAAUAGAAUUGGAAGGAUCCCAGCUGGGAUUUUUAUCACAUGCUAGCACUGUAAUGCAAGUGCUGAUUUAACCAGCAGGCGUCAUAAAAGAGCUACAAAGUUGUUGUACCUCAUACUUUUGAACCUGAAAUCAAAUCACCUUGUUACAGUAAUAGAAGAGAAAUUCCUGAAAAACUGUGCAUUAUUCACUUGUAUCUUAGCCCCCUUCAGAGAUGAAGGGAUGCAAAUUAUUUAAGAUGCAGACAUACAAUUAGAAAUAGAAAUACAUUCCUCUAAGUGUUAACAGGAGUAAGAUCCAUGUAAGAUCCAUGCUCAUGCAUGAGGAGUAAGGAAAGAAGCAGAAAAAGUCUGAAGAGAGAUAUGUCUGAAAACAUUUUGGAGUAUUUAACUUCAAGAUAGAAAAUGUGGUAAUUCUGUACUGAAGAAACUCAUAACAAUAUCAGAAAUAUUUACUGCUGCAUCAUUAUUUAUCAGUAUAAUGCUAAAGGUAAAUACAAUCCCUACAUAUACUGAAGACCUGUUUCUAGGAGAGGCAGCACACUGUCAGCACGUGUCAAGAAGAGAUUGAGACCACUUUUCAUUGUGCAUAGUUCUGCUCUUGUGUGUUAGACAAGAACGAACGUGAAAUGCUGAAUCCUCUUGCUGAGUCCAUCUCCAGAGAGGAAAGAGCUAACAGAAACAGGAAAAGGAGAGAUCUUGAAAGGGCACUGUAAAGUUUGUCUAUCAAAAAGAAAAAAGGAAAUCAGAUGGUAAAAUGAUUUUCAGAACGCAGUUCCAAACAUACACAUUUUAUACCGGGAAUUAGAAGCAUAGAACAUCCUGAGUUGGAAGGAUCAGUGUCCAACUCCUUGCUCUAAGACACAGGACUGCAUAAAAAUCAAAUCAUAUUUCUAACAAUGUUGUCCAAAAGCUUCUUGAAUUCUGGCAGGAUUUUUGGAAUACUUUCCUAAUUAUCACAACCUAUCAGCAGGAUUAAUAGGAGAAAAUAUAUAAAACAUUUUGAAAUUCAGAUUUUAAAUUUCAUGGAAGAUUUUAUAAUAGGAAUCUCCAGCAACAGAGCACCAAAUUCACAAAAAUAGGAAUUCCGCGUUCAUUUUUACGUUCCUGCAUUACACAGGCAUAUAUAGACUGGAUAGGAAUUAUCAACACAUAUUUCACACCUAACGUUCAAUGCAUGUCAUCCUGCAAGUGGGCUCAUGUUCCUCCUUGUCACAUAACACACUGCACACAUGUACAAAUGCACGUGCACUGAAGCCUGACAAGCAGUUAGUAGCUCUGGCCCAUGUCUAAAAAGAUAUAAAAAUAGAUUUGAUUUAUGGUUUCAUGGCUGACAACAAACUGCUGUCAUGUCUUUGUCUCUUUUCUUUCAGUGACUCGUAACCAUGGCUACACCAUGUAAUAAAGUUAACUGAUACACAAUGCUGUAAUACAGGGUGUGUUUACUGUAGCUGAUUUCAUUAUGAAACUCCAAGAAAAUAAAACUAGUAAUUCAGAUUGAAAUGGAAAUUAGCUUCUAGUUAAAGUUUUCCUGCCAUUUUAAUAAAAAAUACAUGCUUUGUUGAACGGCAUAAUUUCUUUUCUUGAAUAAUUUAUGGCAGCCAGUCUGUACUAUUGAAAUGUUCUUAUUAAUUUUAAUGAGCUUGUCAAAACCAUUCUAGCCAUUUUAUGUUUAAUAGAUUUAGCUUGGGUCACAUUUUAACCCCUUGCUUCUUUUAAAAGCUAUUAAAAUAUGAUUGAUACAAAAUAGCUAUUAGUUUUCUUAUUUUCUUUAACUUCCAGAUGAACAAAUAUAGUUCAAACAAAUAUCAGUGACAUUUUGAGUCUCUAUAGUUCAUUUUAUAUUUCCAUAUUAAUGUAACGUUUUCAUGCACAUGAAAAAGAGUAUCACAAUUGGAGAGCAGAAAAGAUUUGUAGUACACUAUCCUAAGUUAAAAAAAUUAUUUCAAUGGAAAGUUUUGCUCAUUGGAGGUAGUACUUGUAAUUACAUGAAUAUUUUUUCCAUAGUUUAAAGCUAAGGUAACUUUGAGCCAUAUUCAAUGUUCGUAUUUUUCUUCUGUUUCCUGUUGUGUAGACUUUUAUGCCGCCAUCAAAUAUUUCUCUACUCCCAACUGUUUUAAAUUAUAAAAAUGUAUUUGUCUAUAGAUCAACAAGACACAAAGAAAUUCACACUACCAUCAUGCCAAUUUACUCUUUUUCUUUAAGGCCUUCUUCACUGUAUUCAUGUUAGACCUCUUUGAAGCAUCACUAUUCAUUUGUCAGCCUUUCAUUUGGCAGUUACUUGGGUCAGGACAAGGACUAAACUGAUGUGAAAGAAGAAAGAAAGCAUUUAAGAACUGAUUGUAGCAGUUUUGUUUUGAAAUGUUAGGAUCAGAAAGUAAAAGUAGCAUUACUAGUACAUCCAAUGGGAACAGAAACGUGCAUCCUUCUGCUGCAAUGUGAUCUAGUUUGUGUUAGGCAUCUCAGAAGUUCAGUCUGGAAAUCAACAUAUUUCAGUCAACUAUUUCUGAACUACAGAAACAUUUUAAAAUUUAUUUGUAUAUUUUCAUCCUGGUUGUGUAUGGAAAUAGUCCUCUUCAGAAGCCUACAAAACUCUAGAUGUUUCUUUGUAGUUUGGCCAAGAUUAGUUUCUAUAUCUUCCCAGAAAACAAUAAAAACUCAAGUGCCACUAACUCCUUUUCAAUCCAUAAGAAAUUAAUUCAAAAGUCACUAUCUGUACUAACCUCAGAACUGCACUCCUAAAUAAGUUCAAGCUUUGCAGACUAUAUCCUCCUCUAACUUACUCUGCUUGCUUUUAAGAUUUUCAACUUAAUACACAACUUUAUCCUGUUAGUCCAUGAUAAUGCUUAAGAAAUAAAUCUGAGAUACAAAGACCAAUUCUGGGAAUGAACAUUCUGUUAUGUAAAAUUAGGAGGAAAAGAAUUCUAACAAAAAAUUACAUUGCAUGCAAAAUAAGUCAGAAGUUCUGACAAGUUAUAAAUAAAAGUAAGAAGAUGAGAUUAUGUACAGUGAGCCAGGAGUGCAUUUUCAGAUGAAUUAACCUGAACACUGAUUGCAUACUUAAUUAAUGCUUUUAACACAUUUAAUAUCAUUUUGCCAUAAGAUCAAAUAGCAGAAGUGGAAAAAGUUCCAGAUCUUUUACCUCGGAAUAAUUUCUUAUGGUAGUGGCCCAAUAUCAGACUCAGCAUCAUAAUGUGUUCACUAAGAGGAAUAUCUUAAGAAAAGAAUACUUUCUAUCAUCCAUGGGCAGAGAGAAUCUAAAAAUACCAGUGGUAGGAACAAGAUUCGAUCAUGCUAACACACAGCUGCAAUGCCCAGUAACCACCCAGAGGAAUGAUUGUACUUACAAUACAAAUGUAAGUACUUGAAAUUUUCACAUUUUUAAACGUGUUGUAGUAGGAGUAGCCUUUGGAACCAGCUUCUACAUAUUCCAAAUGUACAAUAUAAAAACAUAUUAGACACCUUAGCAUCAAAAUAAUCUCUCAGCAGAAUAUCUUAGCAUCAAAAGAAAUGCUGACUCCUUAACAGCUACUUCACUAGAGACUCCAGGGUGAGGGAGAAGAGAAACUGCAUGUAACAGAGAAAAAUAUCUAUCCAGGAAAGAUACUUAUUACAAAGCAAAAUAGAAGAUGAACAGCUAUAGAUGUACAAUAAAUUGACAUAAAAGAGUGUAUGAAUUGAAAGAAGGUGAAUUUUAUCUUCCACUAAAAAUUUAAACUUCAAAUCAAGAAAAAACUCAAAGCAUGCAGUUAUCCUCUUUUCCAGGAAAAAAUAUGAUUUACAUCCUAACAAGUAACCUCCGGGACAAUAAUAUUCAAGUGAAAUCUUUCAACUAAGCUCAUAAAGCACAGCAGAAAGCUUAUUUUGGCAAUUUUUACACUAGCAAUUAUUUUUGUAGUCUGUACAAUUCUGACUUAGUAUUGUACUCAAAAUUGAUGCUAUUGGCGCUUCAAAAUCAGUUGCAGAAUUCCUUCUUUUAUUUUACUAAAAAUUAUGACAGGAUUGCAGCCAACUACAUUUCUCUGCAAUGGACUUUCUCUCUGUAACCUACAUUUCCAAUUUAAGCACCAGGAUUUGGUAUCUCUCAAGCACUGCAUAGCCUUUCUAAUUCUUACUAGAUAGGACUCUGAAGCUGUAAGACAAUAGAGUGUGGGAAUUGCUUAAAAACAAAACAAAGAGCCCACACAUGACCGUGGUAUUAGAAGGAAAGUAUCUCCUGUAACAUCAUGUCUAUCCUUUGGCAUUGGAUCCUUCUUAUCUACACUGAAGAUUUUUUUUUUCUUUGCUGUGCAUUUUUGUUCAUGUUGCACUCCAAAGAAGCAGUGCAAAAAAUCUACAGAAUUGUCUUGAACAUUAGGAUUGUAUAAUACUGAAUAUGCUUUAAAACAACUGUAAAUACUGACUGUAAAAACUUAGCUUUGUCACUUUCUGGCCUGAAUGCUUAUUACAAAAUGCUAAGCAUACUACAUACAAAAUAUUCUGACUAAAUAAACAGCACAAAUAUCUUCUACUCUUGAAUGUUAGUAUGAAACUAGUCAGUAUUUAGAAGGACUCUGAAGAAAAUAAGGAAAGUCCCCAGGAAAAAGAAGUAAUGGUAGGCUUGGAAAAAAUGCCUAAGGUAAGAAGGAAACUCAAGAAGCAUAUACACAAAUGAAGAUGACAGCACAAACCAAAUGUGACAGGGAGAAAGAAUAGAAAACAAUCAGAUCAAUCUAUUACAUAAAUGUAUUGAUGUUGUAAAAUAUGUACUAAAAAAAUACAGUCUAAAACAUGGUGCCAAGGAAGGGUUAUAAACGCAGCAUCAGAGUCAAAAAGUGAUCUUGUAAAAAUUAGGAUGGAAUUCAAUGCACAAAUACUAUAUUUGGAGGAAAAAAUGCAAAACUUUAGAAUGGAGGAACAACUGAUCAAACAUAAGAAUUUUUAAAACUAUAUUUUUGUGUUUGCCAUUUUAAGUUUGCAUCAAAAGGAAGCAUUUUGAAUUUCAAGUCUUACUUAAGGCAAGCAAUUCUGUUGCAUUUUUGUUCUGAAUAAGUCAAUAAGUUUCCUCCUUUGGGUGAAACAAACAAGUUAAGAUAAAAAGUUUCCUUGUUAAUGUAGAAAACAACUUGCUUCAUGGAAAAUUCCAUAAGCAAGUCUAAUUCUGCCACUUUCUGAUAGUAAUAAUUUUUCAGUCUUAUUUACAUACCCCAUCUUCAAGUUCUCUCAUUCAAGCCAGUCUCAAAAACUAGUUCAAAACUUCAUUUAAACACAUAUGUUCACACGAAGGAUUGUAAGCAGGUCAUCAUAUGACACUGCUAAAAAAUAUAAGCCUUUGAAACAAAGUCUUCCUUACUGUAGAAUUUUGUCUUUGAAAAUGCAGCAUUAUUACUGAGAAUAACCUUGAAAAAGGCUUCUCCAAAUAUCAGCCCAACCAUGUACAACAUCAUGUCCUACAGUGUUGCUCUUAAAUUACUACCUCUGCUAUUUAAGCAGUGUAAAGCUUGGGUGUGGAUAGCUGUUUAUUCACUGUUCUGCAGUAUAAACAAAGAAUAUUGCAUUUCAAACUCUCUUAAUCUCUCAACUACCCUGUAUGCCAAGAUUGGUAUACUGCUAUAUAUGGGUACUUCUAACGCUAUGGUUGACAUACAUUUUUCACAGCCUGAUGCUGUCCCUUGUCCAGUUCAACGCUUUCUAUACUCUGGUAUGCAUAAACCUCUCUCUCAGGAACUAGUACCUUACAUCUUUAUACAGGUUCAAUUGCCUAGUACAGGGAUGAAUCCUCUCUGAAUAUUAAAUUCUACACCCUGUUAAAGCAAUGUUCAUAAGUACAUAUGAAGAUGCUUCAUGAGUUGUUCAAUGGCAGUUCUGCAUGAACUGAAUUAUUGGAAUAUAGCAGAUAUCACAAAAGUUCAAUAAACUUUUUUUUUUUUCUCCAGAAAGUCAUUUUAACUUCAGAAGUUUUACAGGGGAACAAAAAAUAUAAAAUGAACAUAUUAACUACUAUAUAACUAUUUCUGUACAAAACAUUCUAAUUUGCAUAGACAUAUUCAUUUUUCCCUUUGGAAGCGUCUCAGAUAGUCAUGCUAGUCUGGAUUCAAAUUUCAAAAAAGACUAAUGCUCCUCUCCCCUUUUAAAACAAUUACAUGAAAAAUAAAGUUUUUCUGAAUAAUAUUUAUGAGAAAAAGCACAUUCAGUUACCAGACUGAUAUAUAGCUGAGUGUUUUUCUGUGGUUUUGUUGUUGUUGUUGUUGUUGCUUGUUUUAUUAUUAGUAUUAUUAUUUAGCUUAUCCUGGACCUUAAUUCACUAACUGGUAAAUCUCUCUUCUCCACUAACAGCUAAGGAUCCAACCCAUUGCACUUUUUCUGUGUAUUAUGUUCUACGUUUUCUUCCUACAGAAAUGUUUAGGUUUUUACUACUCAUUACAUAUUCUCUCUUUGCAUUUGAGGAACUUAUGUAUCAACUUAACUUCCAGUGAGAACAGACCAAUAAAGAGCAAGAAUGAUUAAUCAUUAAAACA